AAACAUUAUUUAAGUAUUUAUCUCGACAAUCACAUUAUCUUGCCACUCGAAGAAGCAUUUUUACGUGCACACGCAAUAAAUUUUUAUCGAUUGCAUAUCUUGCACGUGUCUAUUCAAACGACACGAAAGGAAAAACUCAUUCAUCGUGUUUCUUUCAACUAGAACAAAAAAUAUAUGGAUGCAUGUAAAAUAAAUGUCCAUUGUGAUGUAGAGAUAUUCUGUCAUUCUUACACACAUACAUCGAUCGAUCGUUCUCACGUAUAAAUGACAGCGUCAUUCUUCCUGAACGUUGCCCUAUCUUAUCGACCUUAACUAAACCUCUAAAUUCUAAACACUUGGACGUUCAACUUCGGCGCAUUGCUAAUUGCAUUCCAAACAUUUGGUCCUAUCCUCGGGCAUAGAUGAUAGUGUCAUUCCUCCGAAAUUUUGCUUUAUCUCAUCGUUAUUUACUAUUUAAGUGCUUAAAACUUUGCCUUUCCUUUAAGUCCACGCUAAUUGCAUUCCAAAUAUGGACGUUCGAUCUGCAUAUCACCAGUUGAAGUUCGCUCUGUUGACUAACGUAACAUAAAUUACUACGAACUUGAAACAAAUCGUAUCGUAUACGUUACUAGAGCGCCGAUGUUUAUGUAUUUAUGGAAAAUUUAAAGGUUCGAGGAUACGCAGGCUACACAUAUUAUACAAACAUGUGUAAAAUAUUCAAACUAAAGUAAUAUUUAAUAAGCAAAGCAAAUCUUCGUUUAAAUUCUAUUUUACAAAUCUGCAUAAAUUUCUAUUGCUCGAAAAAAGAAAAAAAAAGGAAGAAAAAGAAAAAAGAAAAAAUGUGCAUAGUGCAUAUUCAUAGAAUCACUAUUUUGCAGAAGACGAAUGCAUUACGUACAUGGAGCAAAUGAAAUGUAAACAAAUUACUAUUCUUCCCAGCUAUAGCUUCCUUUAAAAACUUUCUACAGAAACAGAUUCUGCCUGCAGGUACGAUGAAAACGAACUAGCUCCGAGGAAAGUAAUUUUCUUCUACCUUCGUUCUUUUUCGAGUUGGUCGGAAUUUUCUCGUCCUAUGAAACUCAGCCUGUGAAACGUUUCAUCCGUUUUAUGAGAGGACCAAUGCGAUAUAAAGAGACUUAACGCAGGCGUUCGAUCAGGACACGCCAGAACGAGAAUCCGUGUCAGUUCCUCCAAAGAUAAAUCCAUGGAGAUAAGUUUCCCUUUGGAAAAUAUGAGCUUUUCCAUCCUCGAGAAAUCAGAUCUUAUAUCCACAACUUCUUGGAAGCAAACUAAAGAUUCAAAGUACAAGAAUAUCGACCCUUUGAUAACAACAUUAAUAAACGAGCUCGCGUUCCCGUGCUAAUAGAAAUUCUAAAAGUCUGCGCUUUUUAAAACAGACUACGACGAAACCAUCGUAGAAAUCUGCGAUACAAUUCGUACGAAACGAUUAUAUACGAUACAGUGAGUGUUUAAAGCUUUAGAAGCUUAAAGUUUGCCACUAAAUUCUUCUUAUUACCAUAAAAAGACAUAAUCAGGUUGCCAAUGUUUAUGAAUUUAUUUAAAUAUUCGAGAGUCAAAGCAGCAAAGCAGAAUAUACGUAGUGACAACAAAUCGAUCGAAUAUCUUAUAGAACGCGUUGACAAAUUUUUAUUAUUAGAUCGCGAAUAUUUAUGCAUUUAUGGAAGAUUUAAAGAUGCAAAUCUUUCGCGUAGUAUCAAAACAUCUAUAAAAUAUAUUAUAUACCCAUAAAAUAUACUGACAAAAUAUGGCUGUUACGUUCGGGACAUUGCGCGUAUAUGGAAAACUGGUGUCGAAAUUCCUGCAUACUAUACGAGACUGGUUCCAUCGGAAGUCCGAGCUACCUGCGAUAACAGACGGGUGGCUUGCGUAAGGCAGAAAAGGAUUUCGCGCUGGUUCGCAUCAACGCGAGUCGCGUAAUCGCAAUUAAUGCGACGCUCGCGGUAAUGGUCGUUCUCAUUAUCAUCGCGGUGUGUAUUGGAUAAUGCUCGAGCGUAUUCGAUGAUCCGGCGUGGACGUGAGAUCCGUGUAAACAGCCAGUGUUAAUUUUCGGUCUUCCAGAAUGGUGAAGGGAGAGAGGAGAUCGGUGCAUAUGUACAUUUGAAAUAUGAAGCGGGACGGUAGGCGGGACAAUCGAUGACGGUACUAUAAUUAAAGUAUCCUUCGAUAUUUCGCUCGAGAACGGACCAGAGUAACAUCACGUGUCGUCGAUGUCAAGGCGUCUUCGUCGAGCAGUGAACGGAACGAGGCGAUGUACACUACCGCUUCAAAGUAUCCGGAUACUUGCACGUUUCUACAAGAUAUAAUAAUAUGCAUAUUUAAUAGCUGAGUGGCCAUGUGUGUAUUGGCAAGCGCAUACUCUUAUUUUUCAAAGAAGCGUCGUUUUAUCACGUCGAAAAUACUGUCAAAUGAUAUACGAAGCUUGAUAAUACACUUGCGCUUAAUUAAAUACUAUAUAAACGUUAUAAGAAAUACAAUGGUGUGGAAAUAUGUUUGGUAGUCAGCGUAUAGACCAAGUGACUCCGUAGAAAACGUAAUAAGUACGGUAUUGUUUCUAUCGAUUAUUUCCUCGUUAACUGCUCGAUAAAAUUUAUGUACUGUUACUACGGACCAAAGUGUCGGAUACUUAUGAGCCAUAGUGUACGAAGGCAGAGGGGGAAAGAGCAAGACGGAACAACGGAGAGGAAGUUUAUAGUGCACAGCAAGAUAAAAACGAAGCGACCGUGAACGUGUACGAGGAAUUGCCGCGAGCGUCGCUUCUAAUAGCUUUGUGUUGGCCGUUUCAUUCGCAGAUCGCGCGAAAGCUGCGCUCUUAACAUUGGCCUGAUGGCAGGCGGAUUCACCUAACGUUAAUUUAGAAUCUAGAUGAAAUUCGGCAGGUAUUCAAGAAACUCGACAUCGUUAUUUAGAACAAUGUAAGAACGAAUAACCGCGAGUCAUCGGCCGGCGUAUGUCGCGUGUAUGCGCGAACGUAAACGACACGCGGUCGCCGUAAUACGAGAACGUAGAACGAGGUUGUCUCUUGGCAAAUCCUUAAUUAAUAAAAACGCUGCAUAUCGAGGAAAACAAUCGUGAACAAGCAUGAACGAUCGUGCUUGUUGUCGGUCUACGUGUUGUUAUAAAUAACCGUAACGUUCGAGGCAAAUUAUUAAUUAUAACACGUUAGCCAGUACACGAGCGGACGAGCGUGGCUAUCACGGUGCAAGGUUCAAGGGAAACCGCAUUCUUCGAACGGCAAAGGCGAAAAAACCUAUUAGUAAAUGAUAUACACGCACGUCCCGUUUCGUUUUGUUUCGUUUCGCAGGUUUUAGGCUAGUCGUUUGCGAAGAGAAAAGACCGGGGAACGCAGAAACAGAAAACUAAGAAACGAAACGAAACGGUGACGAUAGGACCUCGUGCAAUGAUACUUAUAUAACGCGAGUAAAAAUUGGCUACUAGCAUCGUGUAAUACCAUUUGCAACACAUCAAUGAGAGUGAAAUGUUUGUGAAUUCGUUAAGGAACGAGUAGUGAAAUACAUAAUGUGUGAAAGAAAAAUGAAGUAAGUUAUUUUGUACAAUGUGUAAAUGUAUUAAAAUAACGCAGUAAAUAAUGCUAUAGGCGUAA